rnacentral:rRNA from 1 species
CCUACGGGAGACAGCAGUGAGGAAUAUUGGUCAAUGGACGAGAGUCUGAACCAGCCAAGUAGCGUGAAGGAUGACUGCCCUAUGGGUUGUAAACUUCUUUUAUAUGGGAAUAAAAUGUUCCACGUGUGGGAUUUUGUAUGUACCAUAUGAAUAAGGAUCGGCUAACUCCGUGCCAGCCGCCGCGGUAAUACGGAGGAUCCGAGCGUUAUCCGGAUUUAUUGGGUUUAAAGGGAGCGUAGGUGGAUUGUUAAGUCAGUUGUGAAAGUUUGCGGCUCAACCGUAAAAUUGCAGUUGAAACUGGCAGUCUUGAGUACAGUAGAGGUGAGCGGAAUUCGUGGUGUAGCGGUGAAAUGCUUAGAUAUCACGAAGAACUCCGAUUGCGAAGGCAGCUCACUGGACUGCAACUGACGCUGAGGCUCGAAAGUGUGGGUAUCAAACAGGAUUAGAUACCCGUGUAGUC